rnacentral:rRNA from 1 species
GACGAACGCUGGCGGCGUGCUUAACACAUGCAAGUCGAACGGAAAGGCCCAGCUUGCUGGGUACUCGAGUGGCGAACGGGUGAGUAACACGUGGGUGAUCUGCCCUGGACUCUGGGAUAAGCCUGGGAAACUGGGCCUAAUACCGGAUAUGACCUUACAUCGCAUGGUGUGUGGUGGAAAGCUUUUGCGGUUCAGGAUGGGCCCGCGGCCUAUCAGCUUGUUGGUGGGGUAAUGGCCUACCAAGGCGACGACGGGUAGCCGACCUGAGAGGGUGAUCGGCCACACUGGGACUGAGACACGGCCCAGACUCCUACGGGAGGCAGCAGUGGGGAAUAUUGCACAAUGGGCGCAAGCCUGAUGCAGCGACGCCGCGUGAGGGAUGACGGCCUUCGGGUUGUAAACCUCUUUCACCAGGGACGAAGCGUGAGUGACGGUACCUGGAGAAGAAGCACCGGCCAACUACGUG